rnacentral:rRNA from 1 species
AAACUCCCGGGCGCAAUGAAAGUGAAGGCGGCCCUCGCGCCGCCGAGGUGAGAACCCCUCCCCCUCGCGGGAGGGGCGCAUCAUCGACCGACCUAUUCUACUCUUAGGAAGGUUUGAGUAAGAGCGCACCUGUUGGGACCCGAAAGAUGGUGAACUAUGCCUGAAUAGGGUGAAGCCAGAGGAAACUCUGGUGGAGGCUCGUAGCGAUUCUGACGUGCAAAUCGAUCGUCAAAUUUGGGUAUAGGGGCGAAAGACUAAUCGAACCAUCUAGUAGCUGGUUCCCUCCGAAGUUUCCCUCAGGAUAGCUGGAACUCCCACGCAGUUUUAUCAGGUAAAGCGAAUGAUUAGAGGUCUUGGGAUUAAAACGAUCUUAACCUAUUCUCAAACUUUAAAUUGGUAAGAAGUCCGACUUGCUCGACUGAAGCCGGGCCUUCGAAUGCGAGUUCCUAGUGGGCCAUUUUUGGUAAGCAGAACUGGCGAUGCGGGAUGAACCGAACGCGCGGUUAAGGUGCCCAAGUCGACGCUCAUCAGACCCCACAAAAGGUGUUGGUUGCUACAGACAGCAGGACGGUGGCCAUGGAAGUCGGAAUCCGCUAAGGAGUGUGUAACAACUCACCUGCCGAAGCAACUAGCCCUGAAAAUGGAUGGCGCUCAAGCGUCGCACCUAUACCGCGCCGUCGGGGCAAAUGCCAGGCCCCGACGAGUAGGAGGGCGCGGCGGUCGUGAGGCAGCCUCUGGCGCGAGCCUG